GACGAACCGUGCGAACGUUGUUCGGAAUCACUGGGCUUAAAGGGCGCGUAGGCGGGCCUCCAAGUCCGGGGUGAAAUCCUCCAGCCUAACUGGAGAAGAGCCUCGGAGACUGGGGGUCUUGAGGGAGGUAGGGGCGUGCGGAACUAUGGGUGGAGCGGUGAAAUGCAUUGAUAUCCAUAGGAACUCCGGUGGCGAAGGCGGCACGCUGGACCUCUUCUGACGCUGAGGCGCGAAAGCCAGGGGAGCAAACGGG
rnacentral:rRNA from 1 species